CUUGCUCAAUUAAACCCCAAAUACCUGCAAUCAAUAAAUAAGGAAUGACAACGCGUUUAAGGGAUUUACCCAGCAAAGAAACUGAACUGGAAACAGAUUACACCCAAGAAACCCUUUUUAUAAUUAAACAUACACCUCUCACCAAUGGAAGAGGCAUGUAAAGGAGAAGCCUUGGAAAAUCAAGAUACACGUGUUUCUCUGGGAGACCUUUUCAACAACUAGAAUUAUAUUUGUAUUAUGACAGAGCCUAGAAGCAGCAGCAAUUCAGAGAUACCUGACCAAAUCUAUGGGAAGCCUGAAAUGAUAGGUCUGAGAGAGGUGUGGCCUGUUCUUACUCACGAUAUGAAAUGCUAACUCUGAAGCCCAAUGGUGCACUUUAUAUGUCAAGCUGUUAACCAUUUCAGUGCUCAUCAAAAUGCACAAAGCAAAAGAUAAUCAUAUUUGAAGGUCUAAACAAUCUAUGGGUUCUAGAAGCAGAAAUCCCAAAGCACAAUGCAGAAGGCUUGUUCUCAUUGUCUUUCCAGCCCCAUCCUGAAACCCAUCAUACUGGUAAUUUCAAGAAGAAACCUGUUUCGGCAAGUUGACUAGAUGAAUUUUACAGCCCAAAUGGGUCAUAUAAGCCUUGGAGAAGCAUCAAAACAUCUAUCAGAUGGAACUUGUGAGCUUAGUUGAAGUCUGCUGUUGUCACUACAUUGUACGUAUCACUUUGAACUUGAUUGAUCCUACCGAAUCCAACCACAGAUGAUCUGUUGCUGUUUCUCUUGAUAGUGGAGUUGUUUGACUGUCCAUGAGUCACAGGGAUAACAGCUAAUACUCAAAAGACUGUUCAGAUAGAAAAAGAUAUCUCAUGUUCUCAUCUGAAGUAUGUGUCUGGUUUUGGUGCCAUCACAGAGAGCAUGCCAGGUUAACAACUACACAAUGAAUGCAAGUUCUUAAUGAUGGCAACUUUACUGCUCACCCACCUAUGGAAGUGAAGUGGCAACCUUCUAAUAACUAGAACAUUUGCCUUUAUUUAUUUAAUUGGAGGUUCGGUGCACACAAGUACAUGUAGAGGUAAUCAGGUAGUUUAGGUGUCCUGGAAAUUAAUAACUGAUGUUGGUAAUUCUUUUUAAACAUGCAGCUGUAUAAGUGGAACAACACAGUUAUUUAACAGGAUGCUAAUAAUAGCUGUGUAGUGGCUUUGACAGCAUAUUUACUUACUGCACUUGGUGUGGACCUCAGCGGGAGUAGAGACUGCUGAGCUUAGAACUCAGAACCUCCUUAUUCCUCCAGACCAUGCUGCCAAGGUUUUUGUGUUUCAGAGCCUUUUCCAAAAUGAAACCACAUGCUGCUCCACGCUUCAUCGAACCACGCUCCAGUUGUGAGAAGGGUGGGUUUUCCCCACACAGUGGAAAUGGACACCUGAUCAGUCAUCAGUGCAAAGGCAAAAUACGUCAGCCCUUUGGCACAUUCAUCAUUAAGGGCCACUAAAGCCUGGAUAUACUGAAUGGAAUGAGGGAAAAAAAACAACAAAAAAAGAUGGCACCGCCGUAGUAUUUCAUUGUGGUGAAAUGCCAACAAAUAGCUGGCACUUAGAGCUCUAUUCUGCGAGGUGCUGAGUGUCCUCAAUUCCUAUUGGUUGAGGAUGUUCAGCACCUGGCAAGAGUGCACAGCACUCUCCAAGAAUAAUCAUUUAAUAACUAAUUAUGGUCCAAACGUCGUUGGAUCUUUGAAU